GGCCGAUUGGCGCAAUGGUAGCGCGUGGUCCUCCUAAACAAGGGGUCUCAAGACUGAGGUUGUGGGUUCGAGUCCCAUGUCGGUCG